GAUGAACGCUGGCGGCGUGCCUAAUACAUGCAAGUCGAGCGAACAGACGAGGAGCUUGCUCCUCUGACGUUAGCGGCGGACGGGUGAGUAACACGUGGAUAACCUACCUAUAAGACUGGGAUAACUUCGGGAAACCGGAGCUAAUACCGGAUAAUAUAUUGAACCGCAUGGUUCAAUAGUGAAAGACGGUUUUGCUGUCACUUAUAGAUGGAUCCGCGCCGCAUUAGCUAGUUGGUAAGGUAACGGCUUACCAAGGCAACGAUGCGUAGCCGACCUGAGAGGGUGAUCGGCCACACUGGAACUGAGACACGGUCCAGGCUCCUACGGGAGGCAGCAGUAGGGAAUCUUCCGCAAUGGGCGAAAGCCUGACGGAGCAGCGCCGCGUGAGUGAUGAAGGUCUUCGGAUCGUAAAACUCUGUUAUUAGGGAAGAACAAAUGUGUAAGUAACUAUGCACGUCUUGACGGUACCUAAUCAGAAAGCCACGGCUAACUACGUG
rnacentral:rRNA from 1 species